rnacentral:ncRNA from 4 species
GGCUGUGCUGUAAGUGUUCCCUGUUUUAAAUACCAGGGAACCCUUGCAGAAGAGCUG